AGAGUUUGAUCAUGGCUCAGGAUGAACGCUAGCGGCAGGCUUAACACAUGCAAGUCGAGGGGUAACAUUGUAGCUUGCUACAGAUGACGACCGGCGCACGGGUGCGUAACGCGUAUACAAUCUACCUUUUGCUGAGGGAUAGCCCAGAGAAAUUUGGAUUAAGACCUCAUGGUAUUAUUAAUUGGCAUCAAUAAAUAAUUAAAGGUUACGGCAAAAGAUGAGUAUGCGUUCUAUUAGCUAGAUGGUGUGGUAACGGCACACCAUGGCGACGAUAGAUAGGGGCCCUGAGAGGGGGAUCCCCCACACUGGUACUGAGACACGGACCAGACUCCUACGGGAGGCAGCAGUGAGGAAUAUUGGACAAUGGAGGCAACUCUGAUCCAGCCAUGCCGCGUGCAGGAAGACUGCCCUAUGGGUUGUAAACUGCUUUUAUACAGGAAGAAACCCCCGCUCGUGAGCGGGACUGACGGUACUGUAAGAAUAAGGAUCGGCUAACUCCGUGCCAGCAGCCGCGGUAAUACGGAGGAUCCAAGCGUUAUCCGGAAUCAUUGGGUUUAAAGGGUCCGUAGGUGGAUAAUUAAGUCAGAGGUGAAAUCCUGCAGCUCAACUGUAGAACUGCCAUUGAAACUGUUAUUCUUGAAUGUAGUUGAGGUAGGCGGAAUGUGUAAUGUANCGGUGAAAUGCUUAGAUAUUACACAGAACACCGAUUNNGAAGGCAGCUUACUAAACUAUGAUUGACGCUGAUGCACGAAAGCGUGGGGAGCGAACAGGAUUANAUACCCUGNUANNCCACNNCNNUAAACGAUGAUCACUCGUNGUUU
rnacentral:rRNA from 1 species